rnacentral:rRNA from 1 species
UACGGAGGGUGCAAGCGUUAAUCGGAAUUACUGGGCGUAAAGCGUGCGUAGGCGGUUCGUUAAGUCUGCUGUGAAAGCCCCGGGCUCAACCUGGGAAUGGCAGUGGAUACUGGCGAGCUAGAGUGUGUCAGAGGAUGGUGGAAUUCCCGGUGUAGCGGUGAAAUGCGUAGAGAUCGGGAGGAACAUCAGUGGCGAAGGCGGCCAUCUGGGACAACACUGACGCUGAAGCACGAAAGCGUGGGGAGCAAACAGG